UCCGUGAGCCAUAAGAGGGAAUGUGUGGGCUGAAGGCAGCAGUAGGGCGAUGGAAAGCCUGGCCAAGGGCUUCUAGAACUUGAAGCUCACCAUUUUUGGAUGACAUUCUGUGAACGAAGUGUUCUCUAUGAGAUACUAAGAGCAAUAUAGGGUAAUCACUGGUGACAGAAACAUCUGCUCAUGCAGGUUCAUGUCAAAGUCCAGGGUUGAAGGAGAACCCCUCAUCCCAGGUAAUUCUUGCCCCUCUGCCAUCCCAGCACCUGUGAACUAGAAUCUGGAGCCCAGCUGUGUGCAGCUCCCACACCAAAAAGAGGCACAGACUCCAGAGCAGGAAUUUCCCACUGAUGGGGCAGAGGAGGGGUGUGGCAGAAUUGAUGCCCUAUAACUUCUGAGUGUAGGUCAUAAAAGGCAAUGUGGCUCCCCCAGCUCUCUCCCUCUGUCAAGAUGCUUUUCCUUGGAAUCCAGCUGCCAUGUUGUGAGAAAGCCCAGGGCACCGCAGAGACCACAUGUGGGUGUUCCAGCCAACAGCCCCAGCUAGGUCCCCAUGGAGAGCCCACACCAACCACCAGAUAUGAGGGUUCAGACUCCAGCCCACAGUCUUCAAGUCUUCCAGCUGCAGUCCCAGACAUCAUGAAACCAUUCUGCUGUGACCUGUCAGAAUUUCUGACCCCAGAAACUGUUGGAGAUAAUAAAUAAUUACUGUUGUUUUAAUCCUCUAAA
rnacentral:lncRNA from 1 species